rnacentral:tRNA from 1 species
GCGGGAAUGGUGGAAUUGGUAGACACGCACGUUUCAGAGGCGUGUGGCUUUACGGCUGUGUGGGUUCGAGUCCCACUUCCCGCA